AUGUCUGCAGCCACCACGCCCAAACUCAAAUUCAAUUCAUAUUUAGAUCAGAGUAUGAUUGAUAGAGCGGGAGGUAAAGAACAGUAUGGGAAAGUGGAGAAAGUGUGGAAAGGAUUACGGCUAAAAUGGACACAAGCAGGUUACUUUAGAGGAGGACCCCCUACAGGGGGGAAACUCCAAGAUAUGCAGAAAGAACUAGAGGACGCAGUAGAGCAUGUAAAAGCAAGUGAGACAGAGAGGAACAAAGCUCAUUUGUUCAAAAAGAAAGGGACAAGAGAGAAAGAACGGGCAGAAGCAGAGUUGAAGGUUGGGACAUGGGCUAUAGAGGAGUGUAGGAGGGUGCAGCCCAAAAACACACCAGACAUGAUGUGCGUGGCUACUGUGGCGUCGGGGGAUGUUAAAGCCCCGCCUGAGAACUUGCCCACGGCUCCCCCUGAGGCCGCUUCUCCCUCACUAUAUCCAAAAUUGUCAAUGGAGGCAGUUCAGCCCCCGCCAUACUCAAAGGGACAAAAUCACCGGAGCCCGUCACACAACCCAUUCCACGGUAACAACCCAUUCCUGCCCAGGGCACCUCCCGCAAUACAGGCUCCAGUUCUGAGAGUACAGCAAGGGGAGCUAAAAGGGGAAAUGACACUGGGGAUAACGGGUGGCCAUAUUGUAUGUGAACAGCUCGAAACCGGGACUCCAGGCGCAGGAGGCCUCCCCCAGGAACGGAGACCGCAAUGCUCCUCUGUGAAUUCUCUCAUCUCUGAAACCAGAGGACACCUACUCACAGGAAUAGAUUCAAACCACUUCUAUCAGACGGAUAGGGAGGACAGUCAUCAGAGCAUGGAUACCGAAAACGAAGAAGAAAUUGACAUGGUGCUCACCCCAGCUCCAAGGGGAGGUCCAAACGUGACUAAGAUGCAGGAGCUGCUGCAAUCAUCAAUAGCUCGAGCUAAGGAACUCAGGGAGCUUAUGGCUAACCACGAAAACAACAGAGAGGGAGCCUACCGUGUGGAAGGCAUAAUGAGAGGAACAGUAACCGAAGUGACCGAAUCAAUGGGGUCCGAAACACUCCGGAGAACGUACCCUACAGAAAGGAACCACGCCACCUUAUCCUCCUUUACAAUCAACCCAGGUGAGCAACCUGCGGCAUACCUGGACAGAGCUAAGACCACAUGGAGAUCGGUCCACGAAGAACCAUUCGAUCACACAGACACCACACUCAGCAUGUGGAAGGAAAUGGUGGUGAACGGGUGUCCUGGAGAUGUGAAAACGAAACUGAGAGGAACGGUAGGGUUGAUUGCACUUCCUCUGACCCAAUUCAAUACGCAUGUGCACCACCAUGUGACAACAAUAAGGAAAGAGGGGGUGCUGAGAGCCAGGUGCAGUCCCUCCUGGUACAACUCCUGA
ensembl:lncRNA